CGGCCCGCCCUGACGCGGCCAUGGCCAGUGACAGCGGCGGGCCCGGCGUGCUGAGCGCUAGCGAGCGCGACCGGCAGUAUUGUGAGCUGUGCGGGAAGAUGGAGAACCUGCUGCGCUGUGGCCGCUGCCGCAACUCCUUCUACUGCUGUAAGGAACACCAGCGCCAGGACUGGAAGAAGCACAAGCUAGUGUGCCAGGGCGGCGAGGCCCCCCGCGCGCAGCCCGCGCCGGCGCAGCCCCGCGUCGCGCCCCCGCCCGGUGGUGGGGCCCCCGGAGCCGCGCGCGCCGGCGGGGCGGCCCGGCGCGGGGACAGCGCGGCGGCCUCGAGCGCCCCGGGCCCUGAGGACGCAGCACAGGCCCGGAGUGGUCCUGGCCCGGCAGAGCCCAGCUCCGAGGAUCCUCCGGCUAGCAGGUCUCCGGGCCCGGAGCGUGCCAGCCUGUGCCCAGCAGGCGGCGGCCCCGGGGAGGCGCUGAGUCCCAGCGGUGGGCUGCGGCCCAACGGGCAGACCAAGCCGCUGCCGGCGCUGAAGCUGGCGCUGGAGUACAUCGUGCCGUGCAUGAACAAGCACGGUAUCUGUGUAGUGGACGACUUCCUGGGCAAGGAGACCGGGCAGCAGAUCGGCGACGAGGUGCGCGCCCUCCACGACACCGGCAAGUUCACGGACGGGCAGCUGGUCAGCCAGAAGAGUGACUCUUCCAAGGACAUCCGGGGGGACCAGAUCACCUGGAUCGAGGGCAAGGAGCCCGGCUGCGAGACCAUCGGCCUGCUCAUGAGCAGCAUGGACGACCUGAUCCGCCACUGCAGCGGGAAGCUGGGCAACUACAGGAUAAACGGUCGAACGAAAGCCAUGGUUGCUUGUUACCCAGGCAACGGAACAGGCUAUGUCCGUCACGUUGAUAACCCAAAUGGAGAUGGAAGAUGUGUGACAUGUAUAUAUUAUCUAAAUAAAGACUGGGAUGCCAAGGUAAGUGGAGGUAUACUUCGAAUUUUCCCAGAAGGCAAAGCCCAGUUUGCUGACAUUGAACCCAAAUUUGAUAGACUGCUGUUUUUCUGGUCUGACCGACGCAACCCUCACGAAGUACAACCAGCAUAUGCUACAAGGUACGCAAUAACUGUUUGGUAUUUUGAUGCAGAUGAACGAGCAAGAGCUAAAGUAAAAUAUCUCACAGAGCUAUGGUUUGCGUCCAUUCUGUGGUUUCCCACUACUUUAUAGUCAGGUGGCUUUAAGUGAAAAGACAGCGGCGCUGUGUCUGUUGGUGUCUCUGCCUGCCCUCUGAGAUCUGCAGAGCCGUGCACCUGCCACAGUGGCGGUGGGAAUGGCUGGUGGGAUGGACCUCAUGGGACGCUGGAGACAUGAGGAGGUGAAAAAGGUGUGAGGGUUGAACUCAAUAAGCCUAAUUCUGUCAGCAAAGAUGUCUAGCGGGGCCUUAGGUCCAGCAGUGCUCACACCACCUACAGCCGCUCCGUUGCCUUCUGUGGACUCGCGGAUGGGAUAAGCAGAGACUCCUGGCUGGCAUUCCAGCUGGGAGCCAGGCGACUUUGCUGGUGUCGUCCAACAGAGGGUGCCAUCUGCUGUGACUGCUGUGGGGUCAGCUCCAGAUCUGUGACUGCACUUGGCCACUGACUGAAGAGGAGACGCUGUCUGAGGAGAGUGGCUUUUCCAUCUGGACGCGAAACAAGGGCCCUAUGUAGGAUUUUCUUCAUUCUUCUAUUUUGCCAGAUCUGUCAUCUAACUGAGUUCAUUUCAUCUCUUUUUUAUAUCAAGUUUGAAUUCGGGGAAUUUUUGUAUUAGGUACAAUUUAUCAAAACUGAAUUAAGAAAAAAAGUUACAGUAUUAUUCCUCAAAGUAACAUCAAUCUAUUUUUGUAAACCUCUUCAUGCUAUUAAAUUUUGCCCUAAAGACCUCCUACGAUGAUUGUCGCCAGUGAAUGAUGAUUCGUUUUGACUGACAGUAAAGAAGGGCGUUGCAGCUGAAGUCCACGGGUUUUUCUCGGCCUGUCUCACAGUAGUUUGAACUUGUAAAGGUCUCUGCUGUCAUGCUUUGACCUUGGUGAUAGUGAAACAACAGUAGAUGGUCACCACUGACUGCCAAGUAACUUACAGAAUUAUGAGAGGAAAAACGCCACACGAAAAGGGUUUAUCUUUUAAGUUAAUUUUUCAAAGCUAAGUGACUGGCACUAAAUAAACUUGAGGUUCUUCUCUGCUCUGGUUCCCAAAACAAAGGGCUUUCUUCCGCUUCAGGUCUGGCCUGCCGUCGGUCUGUCCCUCUGCAGUUUUCCCCGUGGUUUGUCCUUAGUUCGACUGUGCUUCCAGAUCCUCCCAGAUCAGAGCCUUGUUCUGUUGCAGAGCACCCAGUGGCCCCAGGCACAUGGACAUGUGUGUGGUUGUAGCCUCAAGCAUGGUCACCGGCUCCUGGGACAGCUAUGCUCAUUUUCACAACCAGUGAAAGGCAUGUGUGUAGCUUAGAAAUGAGAAGAAGUGUAAAACCAGACACAUUGUUUUAUGGGUUUUUCUCUUUUUAGAGAAAAGAGGGACGGUGUGGCACAACCACACCAGGCCUGCCAGACUCUUGUCACCUCUACCGUCCCCUUAGAAAGCAGACUUUGCACAGAUUUGGGGUGUAACUCCUUGGCCCCUUGGGUGUUCUGUCUCUGACCUUGAUCUUUGCCAAAAUGUGUGUAUACAGAACCCCUUCUGUGUAUUUCACCAUACACCAGUCUUAGCAGCUGUCUAGUUUGGAUCCAAUUAGAAACCUUUUCUGUGGAAAGCUCAGUAAUUCUUAUUAAGAGAUUGCUAUUGUUCAUGUAAAACAUGAGAAAAAAAUCAAGUAAAGCUGAGUGUGGAUUGGGGGUCACUCAGCACUGUGCUUGUGUGAGGGGCUCAUGGCAGGAAGUCCAGUUCUGUCCCACAUCCUUCCCUUCAGCCCCAAUAACCACUGACAACCUCUCCAGCAAGUGCCUCUGCCAGCCGAGGGCCAGCUCAAGGUUAGCCACCUGGCCCUUCUGAAAGCACCAUGUUUCAGAGUUGGGAGAAACUGUUUGGCGUUGGUGGGAGAAGACAUUUGAUUGGAGCAGCAGCCUUUCAAUGUGGGAGUCCCUGGUAUACUUUGUAUCGGAUCUUUACUGGUGUACCAAGUCCCAAACUCUGCUGCCUAGGGGGUGUGUGCUUGCCAGACAAAAUUUAAACUAUAGAUCUUCUGGAAAGUUUAUGUACUUUCCUGGAGGUCACUUGUGAAAAGAUCAAGAAAUCAGGAUAGUCAUGCACUUAAUACUCAAACUGAAUACUCAAUUUCAUGUUAGUGGCACGAAGCAGGGCUCUAUUUAAAACUGUUUGUGGCCUCUGUGUGCUAAUCCUGGUUAAAGAGAAAGCUUUAUGAUGCUGUUUAUUCAACACAUUCAGCAGCUGUGGAACAGACCUUUAUCCGUGAUAGGCAGAGCACUUCAGGAUUUGCAUAGAGACUCAUGGUUUGGACGCGGUGUUUCCUAUGAAAGCCUCUCACGUUGCUUGUAAAGCUAAUCUAAUUAAAAAGAUGUAUAAAUGUUCUUGAAAAAACUUAA